rnacentral:rRNA from 1 species
AAUGAACGCUGGCGGCAGGCCUAACACAUGCAAGUCGAACGAGUGGCGGACGGGUGAGUAAUGUCUGGGAAACUGCCUGAUCGAGGGGGCUAACUACUGGAAACCGUAGCUAAUACCGCAUACCAUCGGAUGUGCCCAGAUGGGCUUAGCUAGUAGGUGGGGUAAAGGCUUACCUAGGCGACGAUCCCUAGCUGGUCUGAGAGGAUGACCAGCCACACUGGAACUGAGACACGGUCCAGACUCCUACGGGAGGCAGCAGUAGGGAAUAUUUCACAAUGGGCGCAAGUCUGAUGGAGCCAUGCCGCGUGUGUGAAGAAGGCCUUCGGGUGGUAAAGUACUGUCAGCGGAGAGGCGGUACCCGCAGAAGAAGCACCGGCUAACUCCGUGCCAGCAGCCGCGGUAAUAC